AACGAACGCUGGCGGCAGGCUUAACACAUGCAAGUCGAACGGGUGUAGCAAUACACCAGUGGCAGACGGGUGAGUAACACGUGGGAACCUUCCUAGGGGUACGGAACAACUCAGGGAAACUUGAGCUAAUACCGUAUACGUCCGUAAGGAGAAAGAUUCAUCGCCCCUAGACGGGCCCGCGUCGGAUUAGGUAGUUGGUGGGGUAACGGCCUACCAAGCCUACGAUCCGUAGCUGAUCUGAGAGGAUGAUCAGCCACACUGGGACUGAGACACGGCCCAGACUCCUACGGGAGGCAGCAGUCGGGAAUUUUAGGCAAUGGGCGCAAGCCUGACCCAGCAACGCCGCGUGAAGGAUGAAAUCCCUCGGGAUGUAAACUUCGCAAGAAUGGGAAGAAUAAGAGAGGGUUAAUACCCUUUGUAUGACGGUACCAUUUGUAAGCUCCGGCUAACUCCGU
rnacentral:rRNA from 1 species